AGAGUUUGAUCAUGGCUCAGAACGUACGCUGGCGGCACGCCUAACACAUGCAAGUCGAACGCAGUAGCAAUACUGAGUGGCAGACGGGUGAGUAUAAUGUGGGAAUCUGCCUUUUGGUUCGGAAUAACACGAGGAAACUUGUGCUAAUACCGGAUAAGCCUUUACAGGGAAAGUUUUAAUGCCAAAAGAUGAGCCCGCACUUGAUUAGCUAGUUGGUAAGGUAAUGGCUUACCAAGGCAACGAUCAAUAGCUGUUCUUAGAGGAAGACCAGCCACAUUGGGACUGAGACACGGCCCAGACUCCUACGGGAGGCAGCAGUGGGGAAUCUUGCACAAUGGGGGAAACCCUGAUGCAGCGAUGCCGCGUGAGUGAAGAAGGCCCUUGGGUUGUAAAACUCUUUCGUCGGGGAAGAAAAUGACUGUACCCGAAUAAGAAGGUCCGGCUAACUUCGUGCCAGCAGCCGCGGUAAUACGAAGGGACCUAGCGUAGUUCGGAAUUACUGGGCUUAAAGAGCUCGUAGGUGGUUAAAAAAGUUGAUGGUGAAAUCCCAAGGCUCAACCUUGGAACUGCCAUCAAAACUUUUUAGCUAGAGUAUGAUAGAGGAAAGUGGAAUUUCUAGUGUAGAGGUGAAAUUCGUAGAUAUUAGAAAGAACACCAAAUGCGAAGGCAACUUUCUGGAUCAUUACUGACACUGAGGAGCGAAAGCAUGGGUAGCGAAGAGGAUUAGAUACCCUCGUAGUCCAUGCCGUAAACGAUGUGUGCUAGACGUUGGAAACAUAGUUUUCAGUGUCGCAGCGAAAGCAUUAAGCACACCGCCUGGGGAGUACGACCGC
rnacentral:rRNA from 1 species